UUGUUUUUGUAAUUAGUGGUGAAGUGGUUGAAGUGCUGGCAUGGCGUUUCCAGGGAAGGAGAGCUUUAGCCACUUAACUAGACGGCAUGCGGUCAAAAUUGAUUCAGUGUUUGGAGUGGAGGAAUGUAGUUUGGCUGUAGGUACGUUAAUUGGUUGUGAGAAUAUUUUGUCAGCCUCAAGGAUGAAUAGUGCCGUUGUUAUAUUUGUUAAGACGAUUGAAUUGGCGAAUCAACUGGUGGAAACAGGUGUAGAAAUUAAUGGAAUUUUUACUCAGGUGCUUCCCCUUUCAGCCCCGUCGAAACGUGUAACGUUAUCGAAUGUGCCUCCAUUUAUAACAAAUGAGGUUUUGGCGGAAAUGCUGUCGCGUUAUGGCAAAUUAGUUUCGACAAUAAAAAUGAUUGCAAUUGGGAGUAAAUCUUCCCUGCUGAAACAUGUGGUGUCCUUCCGACGCUAUGUCUAUAUGAUUUUAAAAGACAACACUGAAGAGUUGGAUUUGACUUUAAAUUUUAGUCAUGAAAGUUUCAAUUAUGUGAUUUAUGUCACAACGAAUUCAAUGAAAUGUUUCGGGUGUAAAGAAAAUGGACAUCUUGUACGUGAUUGUCCUAG